GAGAGAGAGAGAGAGAAUGAGAGGAGGGGUGGGGGAAUGGAUGAAAGAAUGGGUGUUUUUCGACUUUGCAAAGUAUUCUCAAUGGGAGUAUUGUUUGCUGUUUGCCAAAAAUGACAACGUCGUAAGCAGAAGGGGAAGUUGAAGCCCACAUUUUAAAUCUUAAAUUGCUAUCAUAUUUUAACUACAUUUCUAUCAAAUGGUUUCUGAUAUUUUUAUUUGAUAAACUAAUGAAUAUGUCGGCUAAGAAAAUUUUGUUCCAACUUCCUAUAUCUUUCACUUAAGGCAUUAAUAAUUAUUUGUAAUUACUAACUUAAUAAGGUGAUAUAUAUCAUUGUUUGAACCUUAGAUUUACCACUUAUUUCGUUAGUAGUUAUGUCACUUCAGCAAUGUACUUAUGUACUCCAGCCUUGGUUUACUCUUCUGUCAAAUAAAUGUGAAAAGAUUUUUGUGGCUCAUAGAUUUUUGUGAAAAUCAAAUUAUAUAUUAAAAUACCAAAUACCUUGUUUAUAUUACCAGCCAAUCAAUGUCACUUUAUUUCUUCUAAUUAUUCUCUCCUCAGUUAAUGAUAUAAAGUAACAACAGAUGAACAAUGAUAGAUAAUGGGGAUAAGAAAGUAAAGAACCUACCCAUAUGUGUGUAAUUCAGAUAUGGCAAUAAGUGCCAACAUAAUGGAAUUCAGUUCAGUUAAAUAAUUUAUACAAUUAUAAGACUAGAGUGAAGGGGAGAGCCGUGGAAAAAAAAGGGGAAAAGAUAAUAAUUUACAUGUAUCAUCAGACAUUUAGUAGAGCCCUGAACAUAUACUUUUAAAAGAGUAAAGCUGUGAAUCAAUCAUUAAUUACUUUCAUAGAAGGAGAGAAUACAUUGCCCAUUUUUGAUAGAGUCAUUAGAUCUUUCCAAUGAGCAAUAUCUAUCUGCACCUGGUAAAUUAUUUUUGUCUGGUGCUUUAUUUGUGAUAGGUUCAUCUGCUAUUUCAGAAAAUGCCAAGCUGAGUCUGUGUUUUCCUUUGUAAACAACCACACCACAAGUGCCACUAUACAAGACGCGAAGGCACAGGGCCUAGCUCUCGUACACUCCUUUAGCUCAGAAAUUAUAUCUUUUAAAAAUUAUGCCUUUUUAAUGGUAUCAAAUGUUAGAACUUUUGAAGUCCUUUUAUUUUAGCAUUGGGUCUGAUAAACACAGUUACAUUUUAAUGUCCUUAAGACAGUCCAAAGAAAAGAAGCAAAGGUUCCAAAACACAGGAAAUUAUUUCCUAAGACAAAAAAAAAAGUAAGAAAUAAAAUUGGCUUAGCUUAGAAAACUUAUUUUCUAAAUAUAACACCUAAAAUGUUUUAUAUAUUUUAAAAAUUAUGUUUCAUAUUCAGAUAAGUCUGAUCGAAGAAAAUAUGAGUUGGAAUUAGAAUAAACAAAAAAGUACCUUAAAACUCUUUAAUGUUUCAGCAAAGAAGACCAGGAUAUGCUACUUGUAAAUAAGGAUCAAAAACAAAGGCAAAUGAUUUAAAAUACAGACAGUUCUGAUCUUGACUAUGCAUAUGUCUAGCUAAAGCUGUUCCAACUAUUGGAAGUGAUAUUUAGGAAACUACUUUUGCAGAUUAUUAUUUCAUUAUUAAUUUGUUAGUCUGGAAGAUUCAGAAAAAAAUCAUAUGUAUAAGAAUUCAAAAUGAUAUGAAGAGCAAGAGAUGUGGGGAUAACGGAGAUACAAAGAACUUAGAAGAAGAAAGGGAUAGGAAUGUUGGUAUGCCUUAAUUUCCAAAACCUUCUGCAAAACUGCUCCGGGAGCCAACUUUCCAUGCAUUGGGUUUCUUCAUUUAUUUUCUUUUUUACCUACCUGUUCUACAUUUUCACAAAAAUUUUUUCAGUCACUGAAGAUUAUCAAAUCAAUCAAGAUUUACAUUUACAACUGCAGAGGUGAACCUGACUUUUUCAUGGAGUGGGUCAAACUAAACAUUUUUAAGAGUUGUCCAGGCUACUUAAUUUGAAAAGUAGUUGACAAUGGCAUGUUUUUGUGUAAGUUAAUGAUGUGAGAAAUAUGCACUGUAUCCUGGGCUAUUUCAGCAUUCAGAAUAGUUCUUCACUAGCAGAAUUUCUAAUAAAUUUCUUUUACUUAUUCCAUGACGCAUCAAUUUAGUUAUUCCAAAUAACUCAAGGUCAACUAUAUGCUGGUCAGGGGCCUGAAUUCUUCAAAUAAGACAGAGUUUCUUAACCAGCAAAGUGAUUGAACAAAUGGAGAAAAGUAAUGUCAGUAGAAAACUAAAUUUGUUUCUUACCUAGUCUAUAUACAAAAAAAAAAAGAGAAUCAAGGAAAAUGAGCUGCAGUGGUAAUGGUGACCUGCCAAGGUCCUCAAUGUUCAAAUUUAUUUUGUCCCUUUCUUUCCUUUGUUUCCUUUUCAACCACUUGCUGGGCUGAUAAUUCCAAGACUCUGGCAGAGAAAGUGAUCUUUGGGAGUCUGUUGCCGUGAAUAUGUAUUUGUUGUCACUGUCGUUUUGGACAGGUAAAAAAA